rnacentral:rRNA from 1 species
UUUACGCCGUUCGUUGAAGGGGUGAAAAGGACAGAAAAAGUAGGAUACAGUCAAUUGAUUAAUUGCAAUUGAUCGUUCAAAGAGAAAAAUCAUCUCAACCAACUUCGUACUGCUCAUCAUCAAAGAUCACAACACAAAAUACAUCUGUCAAUUUUUGCGUAUUUGAACAUUUUUUUUCAACAUUCGUGUUACACAAACAAACAAAAACAGCAGUUCAACACAACUCAGUGGGCCGGUUCUUUUUGUCCUUUUAAAUUUCAAUGACGACUGUCCAGUCUGAAUGAUUAGUAUAGCGAUGGAAAUAACAAAUGCGGAUGGAAAUGGUUGAUUUCAACGAAUCAAAGAUAGAAACUCUUCUCGAGUUUUCACAUCCUGCUGAAAAGUUCCCAACAUGCAGCUGGUUGUAGUUUUGGCGGAGUACUUUUGCACACCUCGCAUCACCAUGCACAUGUGACUGGCUUCAAUGACCACUCCCACGCCGGACGGUUGUACCGCUUCGACAACGGCAUUAGCAAUUUGCUUAGUCAAACGUUCCUAUUUCAACAAUGCGCGCCAAUUUGCUCAGACCGAGAAUUUUUUUGUUGGGCAAAUAGCCGAUCGAAACGCGGCCAAUGAACGGUAUCAAAUGAUGCUCGCACAUGGAAAACAUUUCAAUAUCACGAACAAUAACCAUUUCAUCAUGAUCUUCGUCAAAAACUGCGUCAUUCAAAACUUUUGUCAAAUCAGUACUGUAUCCGGUUGUGAAGAAAAGCAUCGCUUGGGCAGCUCUUUGAGGUGUUUUCUGAAGACCAUCUCGGUGGCAAUCUUCGCCGACGAGUUUCAAAAUUUGCUCAUAACAAGCUGCCAGAUCGUUCUGAAUUUCCUGUUCAGAUCGUUGCUCCACGUUGAGAAAAGUCGACUUCUGAUCAUUAUCUGCAGCUGAAUGCAGGCCGUUACUCGAGUCGACGACCAUAGAACGCUUCCCAAAUGCAUUAGUCAAUGAACUACUACUCCGACUUGAGUCACCAACUCGAACAACAGCUCUGACGGAACGAUUGUCGAACAUAUCGAAUUACAAAAAAAUAAUAAUUAUUGUUUUUCUUUCCACUAAAUAUCUUCAAUUGUAAAAAUUGAGUUGGCCAAAUUAUACGGAAUAAGUGAAAACUAGAGAAAAAGCUCGUUUAAAGCAAACAAUCCGCAUCAUCGUCACCAACAUCCGCAUGAGUUGAGCGAACGAACGGCUGCUGUAUUUGUCGAACGCGCGCUUAUAGACGACCAGUUGCUACCUAAAUUGUCUGGCCGAUUAGAAUAAUGUAGGUAAGGGAAGUCGGCAAAACGGAUCCGUAACUUCGGAACAAGGAUUGGCUCUAAGGGCUGGGCCGAUCGGGCUGAGGUUUCAAGCGUGCAGUGUAUGCUUGGCUUAGUUGUGUUGAGGACUUGUUCACUUGCCACCGGUUGUUCGGCUGGUCGAGUGUAUUCGAGUCUGAAGCAGAGCUGGCCGACAGACCGGCACGUGCAGAACCUGAGCUGCGCGGCUGUCCGUUUUCGUGUACAGACCGUUUCGGUCGGCAUUCAACAGCCAACUUAGAACUGGCACGGACACAAGGAAUCUGACUGUAUAAUUAAAACAAAGCAUUGCGAUGGCCGAUGAUCGGUGAUGACGCAAUGCGAUUCCUGCCCAGUGCUCUGAAUGUCAAAGUGAAGAAAUUCAAUCAAGCGCGGGUAAACGGCGGGAGUAACUAUGACUCUCUUAAGGUAGCCAAAUGCCUCGUCAUCUAAUUAGUGACGCGUAUGAAUGGAUCAACAAGAUUCCUUCUGUCCCUAUCUACUAUCUAGCGAAACCACAGCCAAGGGAACGGGCUUGGCAAAAUCAGCGGGGAAAGAAGACCCUGUUGAGCUUGACUCUAGUCUGACUCUGUGAAGAGACAUGAAAGGUGUAGCAUAGGUGGGAGAUUGUCAAUUUGCCAUCGUUCACGCGAUGGUCCGGUGAUCGCCAAUGAAAUACCACUACUUUGAUCGUUUCUUUACUUAUUCGGUAAAGCGAAAAAAUUGUGGCCAAUUUGGCGGCGUUUAUGUCGCUGUUGGUCAUUGUUUUCAUGUUGGAUUGAAGCUUUGUUUACAGCCGUCGCUUUGUGUCUUCAUUUGGCGCAUUGUUGUACUGGGUUAUCCCAGUGUGUGAUGUGGUCACAAUGGAUGAUCGGCGAUAGGCUUGAAGUGAUUCGCUCCGGAAACAGUGUCAGACGGGGAGUUUGACUGGGGCGGUACAUCUGUUAAACGAUAACGCAGGUGUCCUAAGGUAAGCUCAGCGAGGACAGAAACCUCGCCUAGAGUAAACGGGCACAAGCUUACUUGAUUUUGAUUUCCAGUACGAAUAGAAACCGCGAAAGCGUGGCCUAUCGAUCCUUUUGAUUGUGUAGAUUUCAUGCAAGAGGUGUCAGAAAAGUUACCACAGGGAUAACUGGCUUGUGGCAGCCAAGCGUCCAUAGCGACGUUGCUUUUUGAUCCUUCGAUGUCGGCUCUUCCUAUCAUUGCGAAGCAGAAUUCGCCAAGCGUUGGAUUGUUCACCCACCAAUAGGGAACGUGAGCUGGGAUUAGACCGUCGUGAGACAGGUUAGUUUUACCCUACUGAUGACAAGUCGUUGCGAUAGUAAUCCUGCUCAGUACGAGAGGAACCGCGGGAUCAGACAUUUGGUUCAUGCGCUCGGCUGAAAGGCCGGUGGCGCGAAGCUAGCAUCUGCAAGAUUAUGACUGAACGCCUCUAAGUCAGAAUCUUUUCUAGUCAUUGGCAACGAUAAGUUGCGUCCAGACUCGAUGCGAGGAAACGAUUAGGCUUUGCUGCUAUACGGCGAAGCCAUUAUCAGACCACGGUAGCAGGCAGUAUGGGAUUGUUACGAAGAAGCAAUUUUUUGAAGUCAGUUGAAUUCAAUGAAACUGCUAACAAUUCCACUGCGAAUGACUCCAUUCGAAUCAAU